rnacentral:rRNA from 1 species
GGCCCGGCAGUAAGAGGGCUUCCGGACCUCCAGAAGCAGGUAGACCCCGAAAUUCUUUUCUUGUCUGAAACAAAAUUGGACAAAAGAAGAAUGGGGAAGUUUAAAUGGAUGCUUGGCAUGAGUAAUAUGGUGGUAAGAGAUUGUGCAGGCAAAAGUGGAGGCUUGGCUUUA